rnacentral:rRNA from 1 species
AGUGAACGCUGGCGGUAGGCCUAACACAUGCAAGUCGAACGGCAGCACAGUAAGAGCUUGCUCUUACGGGUGGCGAGUGGCGGACGGGUGAGGAAUACAUCGGAAUCUACUUUUUCGUGGGGGAUAACGUAGGGAAACUUACGCUAAUACCGCAUACGACCUACGGGUGAAAGCAGGGGAUCUUCGGACCUUGCGCGAUUGAAUGAGCCGAUGUCGGAUUAGCUAGUUGGCGGGGUAAAGGCCCACCAAGGCGACGAUCCGUAGCUGGUCUGAGAGGAUGGAUCGGCCACAUGGAAACUGGAACCCGGCCCGACUCCCUAGGGAGGGCGCAGUGGGGAAAAUUUGAAAAUGGGGGGAAAGCCUGUACAAGCAUACCGGGGGGGGGAAAAAAGGCCUGCGGGUGUAAAGCCCUUUUGGUUGGGAAAAAAAGGAGGCGGGUAAAACCCCCGUUUUUGGACGGGAACCAAAGAAAAAAACACGGGUAACUUUGGG